GAUGAACGCUAGCGGCAGGCCUAAUACAUGCAAGCUGAACGGCAAGAUUUGUAGCAAUACGAGUCCUAGAGUAGCGUAAGGGUGCGUAACACGUAUGCAAUCUGCCCGCAACAGGAGGAUAGCUUAGCGAAAGUUGAGAUAAGACUCCAUAAGAUCACGAGAGGGCAUCUGAUUGUGAUUAAACUACAAGGGGUUGCGGAUGAGCAUGCGUCUGAUUAGUUAGUUGGCGGGGUAACGCCACCAAGACGAUGAUCAGUAGGGGAACUGAGAGGUUGGUCCCCCACACUGGCACUGAGAUACGGGCCAGACUCCUACGGGAGGCAGCAGUAGGGAAUAUUGGACAAUGGGUGCAAGCCUGGUCCAGCCAUGCCGCGUGCAGGAAGAAAGCCUUCUGGGUUGUAAACUGCUUUUUCUGGGAUAAAGACCGGUGCG
rnacentral:rRNA from 1 species